rnacentral:rRNA from 1 species
AUAGAACGCUGGCGGCAGGCCUAACACAUGCAAGUCGAGCGCGAAAGUCUUCGGAUGAGUAGAGCGGCGGACGGGUGAGUAACGCGUAGGAAUCUACCUGGUAGUGGGGGAUAACUCGGGGAAACUCGAGCUAAUACCGCAUACGUCCUGAGGGAGAAAGCGGGGGAUCGCAAGCCAUCGUGAUAUAAGAUGAGGCUGCGUAGGAUUAGCUAGUUGGUGGGGUAAAGGCCCACCAAGGCGACGAUCCGUAGCUGGUCUGAGAGGAUGACCAGCCACACUGGGACUGAGACACGGCACAGACUCCUACGGGAGGCAGCAGUGGGGAAUAUUGGACAAUGGGGGCAACCCUGAUCCAGCCAUGCCGCGUGUGUGAAGAAGGCCUUCGGGUUGUAAAGCACUUUCAGCGGGGAGGAAGGCUCUAUGGCUAAUAUCCAUGGGGAUUGACGUUACCCGCAGAAGAAGCACCGGCUAACUCCGUGCCAGCAGCCGCGGUAAAAC